rnacentral:lncRNA from 1 species
ACAUUAAUCAUUAUUGAUUCAAAUGUUUCUUCUGUUCCUUUCUUUUUUCCUCCUUCCAAUGUCCCCGUUAUGUGUAUGUUACACCAGCAGUAGUUGUUUCACAGUCCUCAGUAUUCUGUUCCGUUUUCUUCUUUUUGCCUUUCAGCUUCCAGUUUCCAUUGACAUAUUCUCAAGCUCGGAGAUUCUUUCCUCAGCUGUGUUCGGUCCACUAAUAAGCCUAUCUAAGGCACGCUUUGUUUCUGUCACAGUGUUUUUGAUCUCCAGAAUUUCUUUUUUCACCCAUCCUUGAAUUUUCAUCUGGAUGUCCACAUUCCCCAUCUGGUCUUGCGUGUUGUCUACUUUUCCAUGAGGGUCCUUAGCGUAUUAAUCACUGUUGUUUAAAAUUCCCAGUUGAUCAUUCCAGGUCCCUGCCAUAUCUGAGCCUCCUUGUAGUAUUUACUCCAUCACUUCAAACCUUGGCUUUUGCCUUUUAGUAUGCCGUAUCAUUUUUUAUUAAGCCCCAGACAUAAUAUACUGCAUAAAAGAAACUGCUGCAAAUAGGUGCCUUUGAUGAUGCAGAGGUAAGGUGUGCGGAGAGGGGAGUGUGUUGUGGUCCUGUGAGUAGGUCUGAGUCUUUCAGUGAGCCUGUGUCCCCAACCCGUGAACAUUACAAGGGCUUCUCAGUGUUUCCUUGACAUAAAUAGACAGGUUGAGCAGUAAGGGCUGGGGCUGUGUGUGGCUCUUCUCACAUGUGGCACGCUACACGGACUGGGGUUGGAUGUCUCUCUUCUUUCCCAGAUAGUUCAGCUCUGAUAAAACCCAGCAGCUUAGGCUCUGGCAAGACAGUCUCUCUGAAAGGCUGGCCUUUUAAAGAACAGAAUGCUCUGGUGUAUUUCAUAAUGACCAUUCUUUUUCUCUUGCUGCCUGACAUAGACGAGCUUUUCUGAUAUUUGCGGUGAGCACCUCGUAGAGCUUCUGGAGGUGAAACUCACAUAAGUGAGUGCCCGGGUUCCUGACUGACCUUAGCUCUUACGCUUGUGCACACUGAGCCCCAGAAGCUCUUCUGGGAUUGCUCUGGAUUUUUUUUCUUGUCACUAGCCCUCAAGAAGCCUGCCCUUGGUGAGUGGCAAUUCUCCAUUUUCACCUGUCUGACUCUCCAGUCUUGGGGGUGGCAGUUUGCUGUGUGGUCUCACUUCUCCUGGGAAUCUAAGAAGAGUUGCUGAUUUUGGGAAGUUUUUUCCUUUUUACUUGAUGUUAGGAUGAAUUAACAACUUCAAGUUCCUAGCAUGCUGAAUUGGACGCAAAGGUUGGACCUUGGAUUACUCAUCUGCCUGGAGCAAGGUCCCACACAGGAAGGAAGGGCAGAGGGCUGUACUUCCCGAAUUACCAAAUGUUUCAAGGACCAGAAAAUCCCGAGAUCUGCUCCGCUGGGCUCUGUCUCAGCUCCUCUGACUCCAACCCUCCGAUGUCAGAGCCUGGAGACUCCAGGGGGACCCGCCAAAGCCCCAGGGACCCUCAGCCUAGACCCCUGGGUAGGAGAACACGCCUGGUCGCUUGCCGUGCCAGGCCUGAGCUGCCUGCCCCUCCCUGCUGAUGCUGCCCGCCAGGGCCCCCGCCUUCCCUUGGGAGGACAGAUCAGUGGCACCUGGCACUGCCUGUCCACCCUCCCUUGGAAAGGCACUCACUCCAAGUUGAGGGGGGCGGCACCUGGCCAUGGGGGAGGAUGACAGGGUUCCUGAUGCCCUGGGAAUGGUGCCCUGGGGCACCCUGAUGCAGGUCAGAGCCUGUGUACCGCCACACCAGCCGAGGCCAGAGUGGGGCUGGACUGCCCUGCAGUAGCUGUGGCCCGGGGCCAGCCUAGAGGAAGGGGCCCUUUCAUACCCACGGCUCACACAGCUGCAUGUCCCCAGGACUCCACGGGCCCAGAGAGGGUGUGCAUCCCACCCCGCACAGCACUGCAGAGUCCCCAGGCAAAGCUCUCACAAGCAAGACAGUGUCUGUGUGGACCCCAUCAUCUUGCCUGUGUCCAAUGAAGUGAGACCAAGUUAGGAAACCUCUCAACUUGCACCAUCCCACAGGCAGAAAGGGCCGACCGCGGUGGGAGACUUCCAGCCAAGUGGGAGAUGCCGCCUGGCUGCAGUCACCAUGUGGCCCAGAAAGCAGAGGGAGCAAGUGCGGCAGUCUGUCCCCUCUGUCCCCUCACUGGCAGUCACCCCUCCGCAUUCUCGUCAGGGCUGCAGAGCUUGCCGGCUAACUUGGGGACCGCCGGUUGGCUCCUUUUCUCUGGGUCAUGCUCACAGGGACGUCCAGAGGCCACCUUGCUGCAUUUUGCUGGUGACUGGAGCCAGGGUGUGGGGACAUGAAGACGGCUUGCGUUUCAGCGGUUCCCCACUCCCUGUUCUUCCUCGGGAAUCUCAAAGGCCUCAGCCCCUCAGCAGCUGUGAUGUGCUGUGUGUCCCCGUGUGCCUCCCGCUGUCAUGUCAGAGCUGGCCUUGGGCAGGCUGAUGCCAUCGGACUUCCCAGCACGUCCUUGGAGUGGUGGUGCAAUCUGCCCGGGCACGCUGGACAGUCCUCCUGCCCGUCCCUGCCUGUGGGCACCCUCCCCUCUCCCAUCAGCUGGGUCUGUUCUCAUCUGUUCUAGGGGUUUCUGAACCUGUGGCCAUGAGCCAGCAUUUCCCAUCCCUCCUCAGCCCACCCACAAGGAGGCUGGGGCCCCAGAGGACCCCAGAAGGCCCCUCCCAUCCAGAGGACACUGUGGGUGCAGCUGAGGUGUGGAGGUGCCAGGACCAGCACCCUGGACUUGCUCUAGACUCUGCGGCUUCCCAGAUGCCCUGACCUUGAAACCUGGAAGCAAAUCCCGGAACUCACUUCCUGCAGGGCCUCAGUCAUGUCUCCGUGCUGACGCAGUGAAGAGGUGCAGGUCCCAAAGGCCCUCCCCACCUCACCUCCCGGCCCCUCUCCCUGCCCAUAGGUCUGGCCGCACCCCCCUGUAGUCUGCCUCCUGGGGAGGAAAUGGUCUGACAAGGCUGACCCGGAACAUUUUCCUUUAACUCAGCUGUAGAGUGAGGGCCCAGCCAAGCCCCAGAGGCAGCUGAGAGGGGCAGGCAGAGGGCACCCUGGUGGUCCAGGAGCCCCCACCUUGAUGUUCUUCCCUGGUGGGGUGUGCCAGAGCCGCCUGGAGAAGAUCCUGGGGCUGCGGUCACGGGCCAAGGCCAGAGCAACUGUCUUCGAAUAGGCUGGACACCCCCAAGGUGCACUGUGGAGGAAGAGGGGCUCCCUCUCCGGGGACAGACCAGGCCCCCACUUUCAGGGACUCCUGUGAACCAGGCUGGGCCAGCCCUCAGGCCUGCAGGAGAACUUUCCACCUCCCCUGGGUCUGUGGGUCCUACUCAUUCCAAUCCUUUCUGGCCCCACACCCAGUGUCCAAAUCUGCACCCCAUGAUAUUUUGAAAAGUUCUCAGGUUCCUCUCCCAGUUCUGAGAAGCAACUCAAACCUCAGCCCUGACCCAGCACCCUCCAUCCGCCUGCCCCGGGCUGAGUUCCAGUGGCCCUGGGCCAGAAGCCUGUGUGCCCAGCGGUCUCUGGAGCAGCGGGGCUGUCCACCCGCAGCUGUGUCUCCUGAUCCCAGCCAAGAGGACCGUGAGUGUUAGGGCUGGUGCAGAAAGCAGCAGCCCCUCGUCUGUAGCCUUGGACAUAACAUCUCCUUUCCUGCAGUGGUUUUACUCUUGGGCCAUGGCAUUAGUGACAGCGGUGUCACAAACGCAAACACAAAAAUGCAACACAAACAGAACAAUGGGUGGGCGCGGUGGCUCACACCUGUAAUCCCAGCAAUUUGGGAGGCUGAGGCAGAAGAUCACUUGAAG